GGGGAAUUAGCGCAGCUGGGAGCGCGUUUGACUGGCAGUCAAGAGGUCACGGGUUCGAGCCCCGUAUUCUCCA
rnacentral:tRNA from 1 species